GAUGAACGCUAGCGGCAGGCCUAAUACAUGCAAGUCGAACGGGAUCUAGAUCAAAGCUUGCUUUGGUCUGGUGAGAGUGGCGCACGGGUGCGUAACGCGUGAGCAACCUACCCUUGUCAGGGGGAUAGCCCGGCGAAAGUCGGAUUAAUACCGCAUGACAUCAUUGAGAGGCAUCUUUCGAUGAUCAAAGAUUUAUCGGACAAGGAUGGGCUCGCGUGACAUUAGCUCGUUGGUAAGGUAACGGCUUACCAAGGCUGCGAUGUCUAGGGGCUCUGAGAGGAGAAUCCCCCACACUGGUACUGAGACACGGACCAGACUCCUACGGGAGGCAGCAGUAAGGAAUAUUGGUCAAUGGACGGAAGUCUGAACCAGCCAUGCCGCGUGCAGGAGGACGGCCCUAUGGGUUGUAAACUGCUUUUAUACGGGAACAAACGUCGGUACGUGUACCGGUCUGAGUGUACCGUAAGAAUAAGGAUCGGCUAACUCCGUG
rnacentral:rRNA from 1 species